rnacentral:rRNA from 1 species
GAGGGAAAUUUUCAGAAGAUGUAUAUUUUACCAAUAACAAAAAAUAAGGUGCUGCCUGGCUGUCGUCAGCUCGUGCCGUGAGGUGUUGGGUUAAGUCCCGCAACGAACGCAACCCCCAUCUUUAGUUGCCAUCACGUAAUGGUGGGGACUUUAGAGGAACUUCCCCGCAAAACGAGAGGAAUGAGGGGGAGAAGUCAAGUCAUCAUGGCCCUUAUGCCCGGGGGUACACACGUGCUACAAUGGGCGGUACAAAGGGGUGCAACAUGGUGGCAGCAAGCCAAACCCUAAAAAACCGUUUCAGUUCGGAUUGGGGUUUGCAACUCGACCUCAGAAGCUGAAUCGCUAGUA